UCAGGUGUUAAAAACAAAGAUAUCGUGAAUUUUGCAGGCAAAUGGAUGGAACUUGAGAAUAUCAUCCUGUUGACAUUUUAAAACGAUUUCAUUUUAGCCUGGUGUGAGGUGUAUGCCUUUAAUCCCAGCACUUAGGAGGCAGAGGCAGUUAUAUCUCUGAGUUUGAGGCCAGCUUUUUCUCCUGUACAUAGGGAAAGACCCUGUCACCCUCCCUUGCCCCCCUUUCCGCCACCCACACACACCCCACGACUGGGAUUGGACAUUUGGCUUUUCCUCUCUUAAUCCAGAGAAUGUCCAUAUUUAGAAAACUUGGAUUUUCUGCAUUUAUAGAUUGUGCUAGUGUUCAAUUCAAUUAUUAGGACCCUUUCUUUCAUAGUGUAUGUAACUUACCAUGUCCUUGUGUCUUCUAUAAUGAACUGCAGAUGCUUCAUAAAAACAGACUCUUGGUCUUCCUGGUUACACUACAGUCCUAAGCUCACAGCCUGUUUCCUGACUUCUGAUUCAGAGCUUGAUCUGUUUUCCUUGUACCUUUGCUCUGGACUUUCUGAUUCAGUCCUAAACAAUUUGAGGGAUCUUUUCAUUGUUAGUGUUUUGGUAAUGUACUGUCAUAAAACCUAUACUUGCUAUGUCCAACUUCUCUUCAAAUAUGACUGCCAUAUAUGUCCAUGGUAACCUUUAUAUCCAUAUGACAGCAACAUGGAGAUGGCCAGUAGAAGGCAACAAACUCCUGGGUCAUAGGUAUCUUAUCAGGAGCUACCAAGUUGUGCCUUGAUCCCUGCAACUAAUCUUGACUUUGUCCUCAAAGUGGCAAUAUUAAUGUAGCCCAUUCUCAGAGAUGGUAUGAGAACCAGAUAGUGAAGUCAGAGAUGCAGGGAGCAUCUAUACCCUGCCAGCACACCAGGUUAGAGUUGCUGUCAAUGAAUUAUCAGGUCUGUUGAGGUAACUAAAAGGAAAAUAAUUAAAGAUUCUCAAGGCAUAGUAUAUUUCUGCCUACCUGAUAUCUUUGUUGUUCCUGCUGUUUUGAGCGUGUCUAUACUUUUGAACAUGGCAUCAGUGCGAACACUUAUGACUCAACCAUUGCACCAUCCUAGACAAACAUCAGCUGGAUGUGUGCCAGGAUACGUGAUAAAAUACAGUUCCCCUGCUUCUUCAUUUUCUCUGCUAUGCAGGUCUGCUGAAGUUCAGGCCAUAGCACUAUAUUUCAGUUGAUUUCAUAAUAAACAUUUGCUCUAUUCCUUUAUUGUAAACUAAAUAAUUCUAUAUUCUGCAACAAUUUAGUUUUGUCUUCCCUAACAAUUCUACUUUUUGAAUAAUAUUCAAGAAUACUUUAUAGCAUGUUAAUAUUGAAUGAUGGUAUCUUAAUUUCAACUCUUUGGUUAGAAAUAUACAGUACGGGAUACAUAUGAUAUUAGAACAAUCUGAAGUUGUACUACAAACCUUACCUCUUUAAAAGGGAGGUAUUUGUGACCCUUGUAUAUAGACAUCUCUUAAAAAGACUAGUGGUGAAUGUUACUUUUAUAUUAUUAUUGGCAUUCCUCUUUAAAAGUCCUCAGUUGUAACUUUGUAAGUUAAAGAACAUUUCUAAUUAUUGGGUUAACAGAGUCAACUAAGUCUUAGGUAAAGCAAAGUUGAGAUUAAGUUAACUUCCUUUAGCAUUGCAUCAUCCUCUUGCUCAUUGUUUGAAGAUGUAACUUGCUUAAUACAUCCCGAAUCUUUGCCUUCAGCAAAGAGUACAACUUGAACUUCCUAUGAUGUGGGCCUCCACUGUUGCUGCUUGUAUUUUCAUAGAAAAAGCCCUGACUUUCCUGACUGCACAGAGUGGGGUAAGGGGGAGGGGGUGGUAUGGAUGGGUGAGGUGACAAAAGGAGAGCUUCCGGUUUUGCAACAGAGAUCAAAGAAAAAGAAAUACCCAUCUGGGAGAAUAGAAAACAUGUAGGAAAAAGAAACUUCCCUCAAACUAUCAUUUUUAUGUUUAGACAUAAGAACAGCAGUCAUCAAAUAAUAAUAGUGUGCUGCUUUUUAAAGAAACCUUCAGAGACUGCAACUGAGACCUUGGAAAUUGCAAGGCAGUGACACAAUUGAAAUCUCAAUAGAACAAGUGAAACAGAAAAAUAAGAUGACCCAGAAAUAAAACAAAUAGGAAAGAAUAUAGGAAACUAAGACCAGUUUAAGAAUUCAAAAGAGGGGCUGGGGAUUUAGCUCAGUGGUAGAGCGCUUACGUAGGAAGCGCAAGGCCCUGGGUUCGGUCCCCAGCUCCGAAAAAAAGACCCAAAAAAAAAAAAAAAAAAAGAAUUCAAAAGAGAAAAUGCAAAUAGAAGGACAUAGAACAAUAGAAGGAACAGGGGAAGUCAUCAAAACUAGGUAGGAGGGAUAACAGAGAUCUUCUGCUUAUUUAUUUUCAAUUUUUAAAAUUAGGCAAAGUGCAGCAUGGUGGUGACAUGCCUUUAAUCUCAGUUCUUGGGAGGCAGACAGGACUCAGAGUUCCAGGCCAACCAAGGCAAAACAAUGAUACCCUGUCUCAGAUAAAUAAAUACCCAAAACAAAACAAAAUACUACUACUAAUAAAAGAUAGCAACCAAAACAUAUUCGUAUAUAAGAAUAGUUAAGAAGCUUGCAGUUUUGGGAUGCCCAGCUAGAGCAAGAAACAACACAUUACCUACCAAUGCACUGGAGGACUCCAGAGCGACUAUGUAAGACGACACUACACUCUGCUCUUCCUCUGUAAAAAUAACCACUACCCUGACAAAUGUGAUAUUUGUAUGUGGAUUUCAUGUAGAUAGCUUCAUGUGAAGUCUUAUGGAUAUAAUGUCAUUUUAUGCUUUCUUGUCUCAACACUGCAGACUAUGGUGGUUGUUCCUGUAAGGUAGAACUUUAUCCUCAGAGGUAGAACAUGUAGAUGCUUAGACAUCCCACAAUUGUGAGCAUCUGCCUCGUUUCCAGUUUUUUGAGUCUACAGUGAAAAACGCUGCCCCCAGCAUCCUUACAUGUUCUGUGAUGCAUGGCUUCUUUGUGGCUACUUGUCCAUUGAUGGAGGUGCCGGAUCACCAGACUUUGCAAGAUAAUGUCAAACUGUCUUCCAAACUAAAUGUACCUUUAAGUCUCCUUCUUUCAUACUGUUUCUUUUUGACCAAGGUGCUGGGUGUACAGUGGACUUUCAGCGUGGCUUAAAUUUGACAGUUCAUAAUCAUAAUGAAGUUGAAUAAGUUUUUCCCCUUGUUCAUUAGAUAUUUAGAGUCCCUGUUUUAUAAGUGUUUAUUUAUGUGUUGUGUUGUUUGGGUUUGUUUGGGAUAGGAAAAAAAGUGUCCAAUUUUCAAGUGAGUUUUCUAUUCUUUUAUUUGAAAUUCAUAUUUGACCAAACCCAAAUAUUUCUGUGUGGUUGGAGUGCUGCUUUCUUUCCCUUAGACAUAGCCUACUUAUUUUCAUCUGUUCACAGGUCCCUUUUGGGGUAAAUAUACAUAUUUUACUGGACAUUUUAAUUUUUCAUGUAAGAGUCGGACCUCUUUUCAAAUAAAAGUUGUAACCCAGCCUACCAUUUCUCUAAAUAGAAGCCUGUAAAUGUUCUAGCCAAACUCUUGAUCAAUCUUUCUGAUGUUGAUAAUUAGGUUUCUUCCUAGCUAUUCCUACUAUGUAAAAACAUGCCAGAAGUCUACUUUCCACCCUAUUUUUGCUUAUAGCUUCUCAUCUUUGAAAUCAUAAACCUCAAAGAAUAAAAAUAAAUGGCAUAGCUCUUCCAAGAACCUAGUAAAAUGGGAGUAGGGUUAACGUGGGCUCACUUUUAGUUAGAGUAGUAUCUAGCUGGUCAUUUUACUUUAAAGAUUCCUGCACUUCAAAUGAUGACAUAGCUAACAAAUACUGGUAUUACGUGUUCUAUAUCGGUACCAAGAGCUCUAGGCAUUAGAGAUUCAUCAUUAGACUUAAAAUAUUUUUAAAUUUAAGAUGAAACUUUAUAGACAUAUCCUUAAUGGACUAAAUUCUAAGUAACCUGAUUCUUUACAAGAGAUGGCAAUUUCUACCAACUAAAUACUCAACAGACUCUUAUUGUGGGAAGCAAAUGUGAGCAAAGGCCUGUAAAUGCUCACGCUUUGCCUGCUUUUCUGGGAUCACAAGAUAGGCUGCUUAAUACUGCAUGCUGUUUCCAAAUGUAGGGUAUGGUAGCAUGUAUAUAUAAUUCCUGCUCUCAGAAGGCAGAGGCAGGAAAAUAUUGAGUAAGUUCAAGGUGUACAUAGGACUGGACUACUUAGAAGACCCUAUAUUAAAGAAGCAAGAAAAAAUAUCAUUAUAGUACAUAAUGAAAAUCCUAAGCUGAUUCAUUGGAUUUCCUUACCUUCUUAGAAAUUUAACUUCAGCAAAUUAAAAUUAAAUAUGACAAGUAGCUGGUGAGUGAUUAAAUUGUAGCUGAAUCCCUUAACAUCAUAUCUGAGAGUGAGGUGCUUAUCUUUAGCAUUGAUGAGGCCCUGAAUUUUAUUCCCAGAUGGUAGUGCAUGCCUGCAACCCUAGCACUUGGGAGGGAGGCAAACCAAUCAAACUUAGAUCCUUGGCUACCUAGGGAAUUCAAUGCCAGUGUGGGUUAGACAGCCUAAAAAAAUAAGAUUAUUAUAGGUAGAAGUUUUCUCAAUAUGUUAACUAAGCAAAUAAACACUGCCCCAUGUAAAAAAGAAGAGAAUGAGGUACAUAGCAAUGCCUCUAGUUUCGUAUGAAACAAGUAUAUACAAAUUUGUAAAGAUACAAAUGAUGUUGUCAUAGUUAGGGUUUUACUGCUAUGAACAGAUACCGUGACCAAGGCAAUACUUUAAGGAUAACAUUGAAUCGGGGCUGGCUUAGUUCAGAGGUUUAGUCUGUUGUCAUCAAGGCAGGAGCAUGGCAGCAUUCAGGAAGACAUGGUGAAGGCAGACCUGAGAGUUAUACAUCUUCAUCCAAAGUCUACUAGUGAAGACUGACUUCCAGGCAGCCGGAGUGAGGGUCUUAUUGCCCAUACCCACAGCGACACUCCAUGUUACUCUUGGAGUAGAUUUUGGAUUAGGUACAAAGAAACAAGGAAAAAUGGUUUAAGGCUUUCUGUAAUCAUUGAUGAGGAUGAUAGUUAUAUAGAGUUUAUUCUACUUUUUCUUCCUAACUGGAUGAAAAUUGCAAUUGCUUUAACAUGUACAACUCUAUAGUAUAUGAUACCAUUUAUUAUUAGCAAGAAGAAAAGCAAAUUAUCCUAUUCAAACUGUAAUCCUGUAACCCAGCUGAUUUCAACUUCCCACUGCAGUCCGUGUGGAGCCAUUGCUUCCUCUCCUGAGAGUUUCCUCAAGUCACUGUUCCCAUUCUUUUUGGCUUCAGGGUUUGUUUCCAUUUCAGCAAUUACAGUAACUUUUGCCCCCACUGGGCUCCAUUCUUGAGCACUCUGAGGAAAACCAACAUUCAAACAAGGAUGGUGCUCAGCAGGACUCCUGCCCUCAUCCAUGUUCAUAGAGCAGGGGCAGGCAGGCUCCCUCCUAGUGCUAAUUAGGGGCCCUUUCCUAACUACCCUAACUACCCCACCCUAACUGUAAAAUAGUUUCACUUCAUCACUCUCCGAGUCCUCAGUUGUAAAAGUUCAGAUGUUACAAUAUAAAGUCCAUGAUUCUGUAGUCAAGACUGGCCUCAAAUUCAGUUUGACCUGCCUCAGCCUUCCAAACACUGGUGUUACAUCCGUAUGCCACCAAGUCUGCUUUUGUCUAUGAUUCUUAUUGAAAAUCUUACAAACAAAAGCCAAGGUAAUAGACUGUUACCCGAAUGAUCUUGGUAAAGCCUAGCCCCUGCAGGAAUGUCCACAGUCCAUCCAGGGUUUAAUAUUACCAGUUUUCAAUAUUAAAGAUAUGCUGGAGAAUCACUUACCAACAAUAAAACAUUUACUGUCAGGUUAUUAAUGAUUUAAGCUCAAAUUAAUGACUUGUCCUUCAUACAGCAACUUAUUUUUUUUAGCAAGUGGUUUUGUAUUCUGUCUUAAACUACAAAUAAAAUUUUGGGAACAGCCAUUGUUUUGGGGGGGGUUCUCCCAUUAUCUCCACCCCCAAGAAAACCUCUGCAAUAUUAUUACAGCAUAAUACAGCACUUUUUACAUGAAUACAUUUGCUGUGCAAUUACAAAGAAACAACUACAUAGCUUGACAAGAAAAAGUGGGCUGUAAUUCAAAAGUUUACUGAGUUGUUUUGAUAAACUCAAAAACACUUUCUCUGUAGAAAACAGUAAAAACGAUAACAUUUCCCAGUAAUUUAAGACAGAAUAGAUGAAGUGUGUGUGUGUGUGUGUGUGUGUGUGUGUGUGUGAGAGAGAGAGAGAGAGAGAGAGAGAGAGAGAGAGAGAGAGAGAUAAAAUUUAAGAAUCCUGAAGAAACUUAUCUUCAUUGUUCGAAGAGCCAGAGCCACGUUUUACUUAGUUAUAUAAAUGAAGUCCCUGUUACCCUUCCUCCUUACUGUCAUAUCUAUGGCAGACUGUUUUCCUGAGGUUACUCCAUGAUCCACAAAGGGUUUUAACUUUGCUUGCUAUGGCAUUGGUUUAUUGUUAUUAAACCAUAUUAUUUCUAAUUUCACAUUGUGACUUUAAGUGAUGACAAACAUUACUUUGGAUUUUUUAAUAGUAGAACACACUUUCAGAGAGUCCCAGGUUCGAGAGCUUCUGUUGACAAAAGUAGCUUCUCUGCAGUGUACGUCCAGUCGCUGUGUUUCCUGUGUGCCGACCCCUCACGUACGAACACAGUCUGAGAAGGCAUCCUCGUGCCUAGUAUUUACAUCCUUACACUUCUCAGUGUAAGGAUACUUAAAAUAUUUAAAUAUUUCUAUGAAGUAAAACUUUGAGCUUUUUGUUUCAGACAAUCUAGUAUUACAUUUACUUUUUAAAAUUAGAGUAUUUUACAUGCAUGUAUGUGUGUGUACUGUGUGCAUACUGGUGCCAUGGAGGUCAGAAGAGGGUGCCAGAUCACAUUAGAACUGGAGUUACAGUUGGCUGUAAAACACCAUUGUGGGUGAAGGAAACUGAACCUGGGUCUUCUGCAAGAGCAUUCAGUGGUCUUAAUCCCUGAGCCAACUCUCCAGUGCCUGGGUUUACUCUUAAAUAUUCAAAGUAGCUUAGAGGCGGCAGGGGGAAGAAAAGUUAAAAGCAAGUUGAAUUAAUGUUACUUGAUUAUAGACUCUUCUCACAGUUGAAACUGCCAGACAGCACAUUCCCAUCGCGUUACCAGGCACAGCGCCUUCUCAGAAACGCAUCCGUGCCCAGGGAACUUUUACAGUCAGAAAAAUUUCUCUAAAACAAAAAGCAUACACACCUAUAUUUAAGUUUUUCCUCUUCCUAUGUUGUUUCUAAAAUGGUAGUGAAUUCAGUUUUAGAAGAAACACAAGUUACUGUCAUAGGAAUAUUCUAAUUUGAACUAUAGUAAUUUACACUUUUAUUACUCUGAAACAAAAACAAAACUUGUUUUCUAUUUUCAAAUUUGCAAAAGUAAAAACCACAUGGUAGCUUAUACUGUUUAUCUUCUAAAUUACUGAGAAUAUAUGUGGGUAAAUCAGAGUACAUGUAUAUAACAUACAGCAUGUAUAUGCUGUGAUAUUAGCCUCUGUAAAUUUUGAUAUUUAUAUACCAUACCACAAGGACUUUAGCAGAAUACUAAAAGUGCUCUAUUUUUGAGCCAGAAACUAUCUCCGUGGCUGUCACUUCACCUUCACUUUUUGUGAAGCAGGAGAUUCCUACCCUGCAGUUAUUACCGUAUUAUACAUAGUCUCCAUUACUCUACAGUAGUUAGCUAAAAGUUCACACAUAUUCCUUGUUACUCUGCUGUAGUUAGCCAAAGGUUUGUAGUAGGUAUGUGCUAAGAGUGAAACAGCAGUCAACUUGGAAUCUUGAAUUCAAAUUCAAAUCUUCCCUCCUACUAGUGAUUUAUGUAUAGAACAUUCUGGGACUGGCGAUCUUUAAAAACAUCCCUUUAUUUUAGUCACCACACUAUAAACCCUGUAAAUGUGACAUCUUCUCCCAGGUUGCUUCAUGGAUCACAGAAUCUGUGUAUCAAGUGCUUAGCACAAAAUGUUUAAAUAAAUGCUGUUUCCUUAUAAUUGAAUUGAAUAUAUAAAUUACAGUACUUCGAUGCCAUUUAAACUGAAUAAUGAGAAAUACUUGGUUUUAUCAAUGUGUUCAACAUCAGUUAACAAGUUAACAUAACAUAUUGUUUUUCUAAUAGUAGGUGUGUCUUCCAUUUCUAGAUCUGCAGUGUGAUUAGACCCUUCCCUUCCUGCUCAGGCUAUAUAAUACAUACUACCUUCAUUUUACUGAAACUAUUUAGGAUCUGUUCUAGUUUACAAAAUGACUUCCCUCUAGCUGUCCAUGUCCAACUACAAACCUUAGUGGAGCAAAAUAUUUUAUUUACAUAUGGACUCUGAAAAACUCUGGAGCCCAGUACAUGAGUCUAACAUAUAGUAUACUUCAAAGCUCCUCCAAGAGCCGGUAUGGUGUUGAGUGCAUAAGACAUGUCUCUGCUUCUGUGCCUUUGAUAUGUAGGCUCUGAUUACAGUAUUUUAAUGACUCACAUGAGUUUUCAAAUAAAAAUGUUAAAACAAGUGUACUGAAUUGAUUCACUAUAAGAAGAAUCUAAGGAGUAUGUAAGCACCACGAGAUGCUUUUGUAUCUUUAAGUUACAAAUACUUUUUAAGGUAAUUUGUUCUCGAUUCACAGAAGGGGAGGAUGCAUUAAAACUGAAUUUUCAUAUUUACUUCAGUAUAUCUCUUUGGUGCCCACAUAAUCUUAAAAUCUUCAUCAACCUUAAAGGCUACUACCCUCCAACCCCUACUAGGCAACUGUCAGACAUACCUGAAUUCAGCUGAAUUUUAUGAUACAACUUUGAUUUUAAAAAUAUAGCUCAAUUUCUUUAUUCUCAAUCUGUAAAUUAGACUUAGAACUAUUUAUGUAAGUUCCUAGUUGUAGAGCUUGGCAUAUAGAGUUAUAAUCUUUAAUUUGUAACAUGGUUAUUAUUGGACACUUCGUUUAGUUUUUGCUUAUAACCUAUUGAAAAUCUUUUCAGCCUUUAAAUAGCUUUUCCAUCCAUUCUAAAGGCUCCUUGUUUACUUCUUGAUCUAGUAGUGGGAAUAAUGUCUUUCCUCUUUAUUAAAUAUGUAUAUUGUUUCUAUGAAUAUAUAUUCUGAUCAGAAGAGACUCAUUGGCACAACAGAAACUAGAACCGCAUGCUAAUAUGAGAAUUAAACUUUAGCCUUUGAUGAGAUAAAGAAUAUUGUCUCAGAGCUGAAGCCUGUUCAGAGGGAUUUUCCCUUUCAUUUGUGCUACAUAUAGACAUAGUAUUCUGGGUUUGUUGUUAUUGUUGUUGUUCUUAGAAAAUACCUUUGGAAAUUUUGAAGCUGUGCUAAUUGUGUAGCCUGAGCUUAUUAGUUUGUAGAAUAUUUGGAAAUUUAACACAGCUGUAAGAAAACUCUUUGCCUUUAAAAUGCUAGAAGUAAGCUCAGCGAAUUUUCUGCUUUGACUUUGUGUUGCUGAGAAAGAUCAUGAUUCUGUCAGCUUACUGUAGGAGUGCUGGGUCAGGUGUUAACUUAGUGUAAGAAAGACCACACAGCUGUGUAGGGAGCAGGAAGAAAGGGUCUGACUUUGCUAAUUGUCUAACUUAAUGUAACAUAAUGUUGGUAACAGUGUCCAUAUCAUAAGAUUAUAUGUCAUUCUACUUAGUCCUUUUAGUAAAGACUUCUGGGCAGUACUUAGUUGCAGGGUUACCUCUAUAUUGGAUAUAAUCUUAUAAACACCUAUCAUAUUAAGUACUUAAAAUUCUUUCCAAGGUCAGAUGGGAUAUUUUAUUUAGUACAUUUAUACAUUUUUAUCUUUAUCAGAACCACCUGCAAGAGGCCCACUGUGGGACGAGGUGCAAACCAUGACCCUGUGCCUUUUCAAAGGAGUUACCAAUAGAAAGAACACAUGUACACAUCGAAAGGCACCAAGGCCGCUGUAUACAAUGUUACAUGCCAGUGUUGGAGUCCCAAAAUCUUAUAGUUCAGAAAUGCCACAGUAGAUGCAUCAGGAUAGGGGAACAGGUCUUAACAAAGACUCCCAGGAGAAACGUGGUGCAUACCAGGCACUUCGUAAAUAUUUAUACAACACAGGUUCUCUAAAAUGACACACCAAAUGGUUUAUGUUUAUAGAAAGACACAUGAUUGGAAAAAUGAAAGGGGCCAGACUGAGAGCCAUAUUGUGCUUAUACUGCACACAUUGGAGAAGUCCCUAGACUUUUAAUUAGGACAGGAAUGUCUGUCGACCGUGAUGGGUUGGUUGGAAUGAGAAGAGAAAAAGCUAAGGAUGGGGCAGCUUAGGAUAAAUCACUGUGGUUGUGAAAGGUGAAUGUAUGUACAGUGGUCAUAGGACAAGAAAGAGAAAAUUGGCAUAAUAUAUAAGGAUAAAAAUAGAACUUGGGCUAUGAGACUAUGUCUCCAAAACAAACAAAAUAGUAAUAGGUAAUGUAUGAGAAAUGGCCAAAAUGGCAAACUCUUUGCUUGUAUGUGUAGGCUACUAAGCAUAGUAAAUGGAUUCAAAUCUCUCUUUAAGAAUCAACUAGGAAAGUUGAAUGUGAUGGUAUAUACAUGUCAUCCAGGAAGGAUCUGGAAUAAGAUUGAAAGUUCACAGCCUGCCUUGGCCAAAAAGUGUUAGUUGCCGGAUAACUGUGCUUGGUUUCACAGGCAUGUAGACUGUUAGCUGUUUAAGAUUAUUUUGCAGAUUAAAAAUAGUGAAACCAAGUUACCACCCUGUUUCAAGUGCACCUCAAAGAUGUGAGGGUAUAUAUUUAAAACCAGUAAGGACUGACCAUUGCCUCCAUCAGAGUCCUUCCUUCUGUGAAGAUGGCGUGCUCGUAAUUCUGUACGAAAUCUCCUAGAGUUCAGGUACUAGCAAAUCAUUUAUUAUCCUGUGUGUUCCUCAGAGUAAGGAAA
rnacentral:sRNA from 1 species